CGCUGGCGGCGUGCCUAAUACAUGCAAGUCGAACGCACUCUCGUUUAGAUUGAAGGAGCUUGCUCCUGAUUGAUAAACAUUUGAGUGAGUGGCGGACGGGUGAGUAACACGUGGGUAACCUGCCCUAAAGUGGGGGAUAACAUUUGGAAACAGAUGCUAAUACCGCAUAAAACCUAACACCGCAUGGUGUAGGGUUGAAAGAUGGUUUCGGCUAUCACUUUAGGAUGGACCCGCGGUGCAUUAGUUAGUUGGUGAGGUAAAGGCUCACCAAGACCGUGAUGCAUAGCCGACCUGAGAGGGUAAUCGGCCACACUGGGACUGAGACACGGCCCAGACUCCUACGGGAGGCAGCAGUAGGGAAUCUUCCACAAUGGACGAAAGUCUGAUGGAGCAACGCCGCGUGAGUGAAGAAGGUUUUCGGAUCGUAAAACUCUGUUGUUGGAGAAGAAUGUAUCUGAGAGUAACUGAUCAGGUAGUGACGGUAUCCAACCAGAAAGCCACGGCUAACUACGUG
rnacentral:rRNA from 1 species